rnacentral:ncRNA from 1 species
UUAAAGUUUUAUCCUGACUUUAAUUCUCAGUUUUAAAUUGAAGUACAUGUAAAUUUUAGUAAGACUAUAUUUAAAACAAUUAUAAAUCUUAAUGAUAUUGUUUGGUUUUAUUUUUAAAAAAAAUUUAUAAUAAAUUAAUCCUCAGUGUUCAGUGUUAAUUACAAUAAACGAAAGUUUGAAUUAGUUAUUUUAAAUAAUUAUAAUGACCGGUUAAAAUUUGUGCCAGCAGCCGCGGUUAGACUGAAGGUUAAAUUGAGAAAUUAUUGGUUAAAAGUAAUUAAAUGAAAAUAUAAGUAAAAUAAAAAAUUUGUGUUAAUAAAAGGUGAAAUUGAGUUUUUAAAUUAGCAAAUUAUUUAAAAGCUUAAAUGAGUAUUGAAGUUACUAAGAUAAAGAUAUAAACUAGGAUUAGAUACCCUAUUAUACUUUAUUUUAAAUUAUUAUUACCUGGGUAAUAAACAGCUAUAAUCUUGAAACUCAAAGGAUUUGGCGGUAGCUUAGUCUGCUUAGAGGAACCUGUCCUAUAAACGACAAACCACGAAUUAUCUUACCUUGUUUUGUAAAUGCAACAGUUUGUAUACCGUCAUUAUCAGAUAACUUUAUUAAAACACUAGUUAUUGUAAUAAGAGAUUCUUAAAAUAUUAGAUCAAGGUGCAGCUAAUAACAAGGCAGAGAUGGGUUACAAUAAAUAAAAUUAUAACGAAUGAAAAGUGUAAAUUCUUUUUUAAAGGAGGAUUUAAAUGUAAGAGUAUUUUAAUAAGUUACUUUGACUUUAGCUCUAAGUUAUGUACACAUCGCCCGUCGCUCUCGUCAAUUAAAGCGAGAUAAGUCGUAACAUAGUAGGUGUACUGGAAAGUGUCCCUAGAGAGCA